GGCUGUUAUUUUUCCAUAUCUAUUGCAGGUUACCUCUUCCUCACCAGUGUUUGGAUAAACAUCUUUGCUGCUAGAAAAUAACCGUAGAAUUAGGAAGAGUGAAUCAUCACACAAAUUAUUUAAUGGAAAUCAGAAGAAAAACAGGCUGUGUGCAUUAUAAUAAUGACUAAUAGGAGUGAUGGAGUACAUUUAAGUUCUGACAAGUGGAAUGAAAUGGAAAGUGG